GUACACAUUUACUUAAUGAACAAGAAUAUACAGGAAAUAAUUCUUGAGUGACACUGACCACAUCUACAAUCUUCUCUCCAAACAGCUCUCCUCAGUGGCCCAGUUUGUGCUGCAAAGCUUCUCCAACCUCCUAUUCCAUGUCCCACUACCUCCACUAGGUCGCCGACACCCCUAAACCUCAGUUUUGUGAAACCACCAUCCACCAGCCAGUGCCCCAUUACUACCACUAGGCCUAGGCCCCCUGUACUACUUACCUCCACUGUCAAGGACCCACCACCUUCCACUCUGCAACCUGGUGCAGUGUGUGGAAACCCUUCAGCAUCCAUUCAACCUUCAUUCCCUUCCUUCCAGUCAGACAGGCAUGAAUCUCAAGAAAUAACACAUACAAUGACACUAUUUCUACUGGACCUUACAAAAACUCAUCAGCACCUUUAUUUUCGGAACAAAAUGGCAUUCUAUAAAAAAAUACAAAACUUAUUCUCACUAAAGGGCUACAACUUGUCAAGUGAGAAAAUUCGGAAAAAAAACUAGCAAACAUGUUAACUACUUAUAAGAGAGUGAAAGACAGGCGCCGUGCAACUGGGGAAGGGAAGAUCACCUGGGAGUACUAUACACUAAUGGAUGAGUUAUUUGGGUCAUCGGGGAUCGGUACUGCACCACCUGGCACCAUUCACUCCACACCUCUGGGUUUGGAAGAGACCUCUUCCACAAGCAGGCCCACAACGUCUUCUCUUCAAGACCAGCCGGUAGGUGCUAGUAUGGAUGAACAGCCAGGAACUGCUACCAUACAAAAUGCAAACAUCACAAGAAGGCAAAGACGACCACAACCCUUACAAUUCCUGGACGCUUAUGAAGAGCAUGCAGAGAGAAGGACUGCUGUGCUUGAGUCCCUGGUAAGGCCAGAUCUGGAGUGAUGGCGGCGACUUAAGGAGAGGCGGAGAAGGUCCUUCGAAAAAAAGAUGGUGACCAGCUUGGGAACAAUUGUGGAGGAGCUAAAAAACAUGGGGAAAAGACAAGAGCAAAUUAUGCAUCUAUUACAGAACCCACAUAAACCCCAAUAAUACAAAAUAGCAAACAUCACAAGAAGGCAAAGACGACCACAACCCUUACAAUUCCUGGACGCUUAUGAAGAGCAUGCAGAGAGAAGGACUGCUGUGCUUGAGUCCCUGGUAAGGCCAGAUCUGGAGAGAUGGCGGCGACUUAAGGAGAGGUGGAGAAGGUCCUUCGAAAAAAAAGAUGGUGACCAGCUUGGGAACAAUUGUGGAGGAGCUAAAAAACAUGGGGAAAAGACAAGAGCAAAUUAUGCAUCUAUUACAGAACCCACAUGAACCCCAAUAAAAUUAUAAUCUAAAGAUGUUAUCUCUUUUGAUUUACACCUUUCCCCAAAAUGUCCUAUUGUUUUUUUUUUUCCCCAAAUAACAAUUUCUAAUGACAAACUAAUUUUGUUCAAUAAAACAAAUUUCUUUAUUUCAACACAAAAUCUGUUUGUUUAUUUUAUCAUUUGUUGAAUAUUUCUGAACAUUCAAAUCUUUACUUUUCAUCUUUUGUUUUGUAUGUUAAGUAUACACAUACAAGUUAGAUCUGGCCACAAUAAUGACAUGCAUUAGUGUUGUGGGGUUGCUGGGGUAGUGGUUCAUCAUCAACACCAUCACCUACCACAACAACUUGAUCACAGGGCUCUAAACAAAGAUUAUGCAAAAUGCAGCAGGCUGAGACUGCUGAGCUGAUAUUAGAAAUGCUUCUCAUUUGCAGGUAAUGGAGCCUCCUAAACUUAGAUUUUAGAAUGCCAAAUGCAUGCUCAAUGACCACGCGAGCUGCAUUGAGCUUUCUGUUAAAAUAUCUUUGCCUAGCAGACAAGUGGCCAUUGUCUCUAUAAGACCUCAUAAGCUGAGGCAACAAAGGGUAGGCAUUAUCCCCAAUUAUGUGCAUUCCCUGUGGAACAAGUGAAUGAGGAUCUUCUUCAAGAACACGACAAACUUCUGUGAAGCGAAAUGCUCUGGCAUCAUGCCAACUCCCAGGGUGACCCACACUAAUGUGACAGAAGCGCCGCUGACUGUCACAAAACCCAGUUAAAUUUACAGAAUAAAACUGUUUCCUAUUCAUGUAUGCUAGGGGAUUAUCACAGUGGGGUCUCAUUAUAGGAAUGUGACACCCAUCUACUGCACAUACAGUGUUGGGGAAACCUGCUGUGUCAAACCCUAAAUUUGACAUCUCCAGCCAUGUAUGUGUUAAUAUUGUAACAAAACUCAUGGAGAUGCUUGGCAAGAGUGGAUUUUGACAUGUUAAAUCUAUCUGCCACCCCACGAUAUGACUCCUGAUUCACCAAUGUCCAAAGGCAGGCAAGAACACUGUUCGUGAGUGGCAGUUUGGUCUGUUGUAAAUUCAUAUACACAGGACCAAGGGUAGUGAUGACAUCCUGCAAAGGUAGAAAAAUAGGUAAUCAAGACAACAUGCUAACACUUGUAAUAGUUCAAUGAAUUUUAUAUUAACCAGUCCCGUACAAACCUCCACUUGUUCUCUGGAAAGCCUGAAAUGACUUCUAAAUUCUGAGAGACUGUAGAGAGGACCCCACGAUAUGACUCCUGAUUCACCAAUGUCCAAAGGCAGGCAAGAACACUGUUCGUGAGUGGCAGUUUGGUCUGUUGUAAAUUCAUAUACACAGGACCAAGGAUAGUGAUGACAUCCUGCAAAGGUAGAAAAAUAGGUAAUCAAGACAACAUGCUAACACUUGUAAUAGUUCAAUGAAUUUUAUAUUAACCAGUCCAGUUCAAACCUCCACUUGUUCUCUGGAAAGCCUGAAAUGACUUCUAAAUUCUGAGAGACUGUAGAGAGGGACAACAUCCUCCACAAAAUUGUCUAUUUUUGGAACCAUUCUACAAGAGGAAUUGUACUCACUAUAUACAGUACAUGUAGCCUACCUGAACACACAUGUAACAUUAGUCAAACAUUUAUUAUCAGUGUUUUAUGUUGAAUAGGGAUUUUAAUUAAAUAAUUAGUCUAUACAGAAGUGUUAAAAUUUGAGUAAAACUCAAUUAUUUAUUUGUCAGAAUGAGUGUCUC
rnacentral:lncRNA from 1 species